rnacentral:misc_RNA from 1 species
AGGUAAUGACCACAUUGUCGGAUAUGGUGAUGCAGUGCGGGGGCGGGGGCUGCUGCGUCCUGGAGCAGUGCUUUCAGUACCCCAGAAGAGCCCGAGAGCCCCGGGACUGCGGCUGCCAAUUCGCUCUACUCCACAGGGCGGACAUCGCGUGACCAUCGCAUCUGCACUGGUCGAGCCAUCACGUGGACUCCUUAGACAGCGGCGGAGCUUUAGGCUGGCCGAGAACCUCGAGGCCGCGCGUCAACAGUGCCAUCGACGUGGCCGGCUUCCUAUCGCAGGAAUUUCUGCGACGCCACGGGUCCACGUCCAAAUUGUGUCGUAAGGUUCGCAGUGCAGAUAAUUUACCUCUUGCGUCAACAAAUCGCCAGGAUCCUCGAAGGAACUCCAAGGACGACAGUACCGAAGGCGACCGGGAGUCCUUUUUGAAGCCAAAUCAGGACGACAAGUCCGAGGAUCAGGACUCAAGGAGGCAGAGUAGUCUUGAGAGUGCAACGAAGGACAAUACGGAAACAUCG